rnacentral:rRNA from 1 species
UACGAAGGGGGCUAGCGUUGUUCGGAAUUACUGGGCGUAAAGGGCGCGUAGGCGGUGUGUCAAGUCAGGCGUGAAAGCCCCGGGCUCAACCUGGGAACAGCGCUCGAGACUGGCACGCUCGAGUUCGGGAGAGGAUGGUGGAAUUCCCAGUGUAGAGGUGAAAUUCGUAGAUAUUGGGAAGAACACCGAUGGCGAAGGCAGCCAUCUGGACCGACACUGACGCUGAGGCGCGAAAGCGUGGGGAGCAAACAGG